AGCAGCCGCGGUAAUUCCAGCUCCAAUAGCGUAUAUUAAAGUUGUUGCAGUUAAAAAGCUCGUAGUUGAAUUUCGGGGUUAGUAGGUUGGUCAUGCCUCUGGUAUGUACUGGUCUCACUGAUUCCUCCUUCCUGAUGAGCCGUAAUGCCAUUAAUUUGGUGUUGCGGGGAAUUUGGACUGUUACUUUGAAAAAAUUAGAGUGUUUAAAGCAAGCUAACGCUUGAAUACAUUAGCAUGGAAUAAUGAAAUAGGACGUUUGAUUCUAUUUUGUUGGUUUCUAGGAUCGACGUAAUGAUUAAUAGGGAUAGUUGGGGGCAUUAGUAUUCAAUUGUCAGAGGUGAAAUUCUUGGAUUUAUUGAAGACUAACUACUGCGAAAGCAUUUGCCAAGGAUGUUUUCAUUAAUCAAGAAUGAAAGUUAGGGGAUCGAAGACGAUCAGAUACCGUCGUAGUCUAACCAUAAACUAUGCCGACUAGGGAUCGGAUGAUGUUAAUUUUUUAAUGACUCAUUUGGCGCCUUAC
rnacentral:rRNA from 1 species